CCUACGGGUGGCAGCAGUAGGGAAUAUUGCUCAAUGGGGGAAACUCUGAAGCAGCAACGCCGCGUGGAGGAUGAAGGUCUUCGGAUUGUAAACUUCUUUUGUUAGAGAAGAUAAUGAUGGCAUUUAACGAAUAAGAACCGGCUAACACCGUGCCAGCAGCCGCGGUAAUACGGGGGGUGCAAGCGGUACUCGAAAUCAUUGCGCGUAAGGAGCGCGGAGGCGGGAUAGUAAGUCAGUUGUAAAAUCCUAUGGCUUAACCAGAGAACUGCAUUUGAAACUGGUAUUCUAGAGUAUGGGCGGGGUAGGUGGAAUUCUAGGUGUAGGGGUAAAAUCCGUAGAGAUCAAGAGGAAUACUCAGUGCGAGGGCAACCUGCUAGAACAUAACUGACGCUGAUGCGCGAAAGCGUGGGAGCAAACAGGAUUAGAUACCCCAGUAGUC
rnacentral:rRNA from 1 species